rnacentral:rRNA from 1 species
CCUACGGGUGGCAGCAGUCGAGAAUCAUUCACAAUGGGGGAAACCCUGAUGGUGCGACGCCGCGUGGGGGAAUGAAGGUCUUCGGAUUGUAAACCCCUGUCAUGUGGGAGCAAAUUAAAAAGAUAGUACCACAAGAGGAAGAGACGGCUAACUCUGGGCCAGCAGCCGCGGUAAUACAGAGGUCGCAAGCGUUGUCCGGAACCACUGGGCGUAAAGCGUGCGUAGGCUGUUUCGUAAGGCGUGUGUGAAAGGCGCGGGCUCAACCCGCGGACGGCACAUGAUACUGGGGGGCUAGAGUAAUGGAGAGGGAAGCGGAAUUCUCGGUGUAGCGGUGAAAUGCGUAGAUAUCGAGAGGAACACUCGUGGCGAAGGCAGGUUCCUGGAGAUUAACUGACGCUGAGGCACGAAGGCGAGGGGAGCGAAAGGGAUUAGAUACCCUAGUAGUC